CCGUAUUUUAAAGUCGGCGUCUAUUUGGCGCCAUACCUUCGAGACACACUGUUAAUGACGAUGAACUUCCUCCAUUGUAAGACAUUCAACUUCGUUUGGGAUAUCUUUGGAAUAAAUGAAUGCAAACUUCGAAUUAAGAUAAUUCUCGUGUGAUGCAGAAAUAGUUAUAGAAUCUGGAACAAUCCUCGAGCAACACGAUUUGGUAGCAGAAUUUCAUCGGUAUGCAGCACGACAACGAUAAACGUUCGAUGCGUGUGCUAACCGCGCACACUUCUUUCAAGGAUGCAGGACACAAAGGACAUGGAUUCAAUAAGAGAAUGACAAUGUACUUAUUAGGACUAGUCAGGACUUGUAAUGCAAUUCGAUAGAAACGAUAAUACAAUGAGCAAAUUAUUUUAUUUUCAAUUAUCCUAAUUUUUUUGGUCCGGUUUUCAGGUAUGUAAUAAUUUUAAUUA